GAUGAACGCUGGCGGCGUGCCUAAUACAUGCAAGUCGAGCGAACAGAUGAGGAGCUUGCUCCUCUGACGUUAGCGGCGGACGGGUGAGUAACACGUGGAUAACCUACCUAUAAGACUGGGAUAACUUCGGGAAACCGGAGCUAAUACCGGAUAAUAUAUUGAACCGCAUGGUUCAAUAGUGAAAGACGGUUUUGCUGUCACUUAUAGAUGGAUCCGCGCCGCAUUAGCUAGUUGGUAAGGGAACGGCUUACCAAGGCGACGAUGCGUAGCCGACCUGAGAGGGUGAUCGGCCACACUGGAACUGAGACACGGUCCAGACUCCUACGGGAGGCAGCAGUAGGGAAUCUUCCGCAAUGGGCGAAAGCCUGACGGAGCAACGCCGCGUGAGUGAUGAAGGUCUUCGGAUCGUAAAACUCUGUUAUUAGGGAAGAACAAAUGUGUAAGUAACUAUGCACGUCUUGACGGUACCUAAUCAGAAAGCCACGGCUAACUACGUG
rnacentral:rRNA from 1 species